UGGCUUGGAUUGUGUAAUGUGUCUCAUUAAGUUGUUAUAAAUGUUGAUUACAUGUCCUAAUGUCUCAAGAGAGAGAUUUUAUAAUGUUUCAAGAUACAAAAAGCAAUGUUAGUUUUACUUUAUUACGGAAAUCUUCUUCUUGCCAUCAAUGAACCUAAUUACGGAAAUCUUCUUCUUGCCAUCAAAAAAUUUAAUUUCCUAAAAAGUGAACCUAAUUUUCUAAAAUCAAAUAUGAUAAUUUAUUUAAAUUCUCAAAACUUUUUUUGGAACAAAUUUUUUUCUUUGGCAGUUAGGAAGUGGUGGUGUUAUAGAAGCUGACAAAUUUCCUUUUUGCCUGCAUAAAUGAGGAGCAAAUUAAGCAUGCUGACAAGCAACUCAUGUAUCAAUGCCGCUGUUCUUUUCUUGAGAUUUACAAUGAACAAAUCACUGAUUUGUUGGAUCCAAGCCAA